rnacentral:rRNA from 1 species
AACGAACGCUGGCGGCAGGCUUAAUACAUGCAAGUCGAACGGUUGUAGCAAUACAGCAGUGGCAGACGGGUGAGUAACACGUGGGAACCUACCUAGGGGUACGGAGUAACUCAGGGAAACUUGUGCUAAUACCGUAUACGACCUGGUGAAGAUUAUCGCCCCUACGAUGGGCCCGCGUUGGAUUAGCUAGUUGGUGAGGUAAAAGGACUCACCAAGGCGACGAUCCAUAGCUGGUCUGAGAGGAUGAUCAGCCACACUGGGACUGAGACACGGCCCAGACUCCUACGGGAGGCAGCAGUAGGGAAUCUUGGACAAUGGGCGAAAGCCUGAUCCAGCCAUGCCGCGUGAGUGAUGAAGGCCUUAGGGUUGUAAAGCUCUUUCGCCAGGGAAGAUAAUGACGGUACCUGGAUAAGAAGCCCCGGCUAACUUCGUGCCAGCAGCCGCGGUAAU